GCCAGUGUGGUGUAGUGGUUGAGCAUUGGACUAUAAGUGUGGAGAACAGGGUUUGAAUCCCUGCUUUGCCA